UCUCGAUUCGUCUAGUGGUUAGGAUACCUGCUUGUCAUUAUCUUGACGAUAGAGUCGAAUACGCAGGUGGCCGGGGUUCAAUUCCCCGAUCGGGAG